AAUGAGAUACUACAUAUGAAGUGCUUAGUACAAUGUAGGACCAUCAGGUAGAUCUAGUUUGAGGCACUAAGAAGGAGAAGACAUCAUUGAAAAGAGACUAUCAGAGCAAUAUGAAUUCUGAUAAAAUUGAAGCAAGAAGAAGCAUUAAGUUUAUGGUGAAGUUGGAAUGGAAGAAUGUUAAAAUCAUUGAUGCUUUAUGAAAAGUAUAUAAGGACAAUGCCCCAAAUAAAUCAGCAGUUUACAAAUGAAUAACUUGUUUUAAGAAAGAAUGAGCCAAUGUUAAAGAUGAAGCCUGAGCAGCAGACUAUUUGCAUCAAUUUUUGAGGAAUAAAUUAAUCUUGUUUGUGCCCUAAUUAAAGAGGAUCAAUUAUUAACAGCAGAAACUAUAGCCAAAAACAUAGACAUUUCAACUGGUUCAACUUACAUAAUUCUGACUGAAAACUGAAGUUGAGCAAAUUCUACUCAACGAGUGCCAAAACCACUGGACCCAGAUCAGCUGCAUAUAAAAGCAGGGCUUUCAGUGGAAAUUUUAAAAAAAUAGGAUCAAGAUCCUGAAACAUUUUUUUGAAGAAUUGUAGCAGGAAAGAAAGCAUGACUUUACCAGUACAAUCCUGAAGACGAAACACAAUGAAAGCAAUGGCUACCAAGAGGUGGAAGUGUUCUAGUUGAAGCAAAAGUGGACUAGUCAAAAGCAAGGGUCAUGGCAACAGCUUUUUGGGAUGCUCAAGGCAUUUUGCUUGUUGACUUUCUGGAGGGCUAAAUAACGAUGACAUCUGCUUAUUAUGACAGUGUUUUGAAAAAGUUAGCCAAAGUUUUAGCAGAAAAAUGACUGGGAGAGCUUCACCAGAGAAUCCUUCUCCACCGUGACAAUGCUGCUCAUUCUUUUCAUGAAACAAGGGCAAUUUUGGGAGGAUUUCAAUAGAAAAUCAUUAAGCAUCCACCUCACAGUCUUAAUUUGGCUUCUUCUGACUUUGUUUUCCCCCCAAAUCUUAAAAAAUUCUUUAAGAGCACCCAUUUUUUCAUCAGUUAAUAACGUAAAAAAGACUACUGACAUAAUUCAAUUGCCAG
rnacentral:lncRNA from 10 species